rnacentral:rRNA from 1 species
UACGGAGGAGGCAAGCGUUAUCCGGAAUUAUUGGGCGUAAAGCGUCCGUAGGUGGCGAUUCAAGUCUGCGGUUAGAGACUGGGGCUUAACCCUGGAAAGGCCGUGGAAACUGAAACGCUAGAGUGCAGUAGGGGUAGAGGGAAUUCCCGGUGUAGCGGUGAAAUGCGUAGAGCUCGGGAAGAACAUCGGUGGCGAAAGCGCUCUGCUGGACUGCAACUGACACUCAGGGACGAAAGCUAGGGGAGCGAAUGGG